rnacentral:lncRNA from 1 species
GCACGCUUGCGCGCCGCCCGCUGCCUGCCGCGGCUGGGAGUCCGGAGCUUUUAGCUUGUGAUGGUUUCGGUUCGGCUGUCAGAUGGAGGGUAUGUCUACGUUGAAGACAGCUGGGGCUGCCGCACGCCUCGGGGUUACUGUCGGGCACCCGGCGGGCGGGGCCGGCGCUGGGGCGGGGGAGGGCUUCCUCGCCCUCAGAAACCACAUUCGCAGAAACGCUUUUAACUGGCAAGGUUUCGAGUUCCCAACCACAGCACCCUCAGUGAUGGUUUUCAGAAGACCUUGUUAGCUCCUCUGCUCCAGAGACCCAUCCUUCGCUGACAUCCCACCGAUUUGGGGGAAGGAAAAAACAGACUCCUGCAAAAUACCUCUUCUUCCAGUGCCCUGUACCCCUCUCUACUUACUUCGGGUCCCUGCAGCCCAGCAGCAACCCCAAACGAGUGAAGGGAGGAGACAUCGGUUUGUCCAGGCUCUGCUACCGACGGGUGAUUUGGGAUAAGUCCUUCUCCAGUAUCAUUAUUUUCAACUGUAAAACAUGAGGGUUAGUCCGAAUGAUCUCCAAACCCUUCAGCAUUAAAGUUAGGUGAUGAAUCCUAAGA